CCUCCGCGCCCGCGGCGGCCCGGCCGCGUCGCAAGAUGGCGGCGGACAGCGAACCCGAGUCGGAGGUGUUUGAGAUCACGGACUUCACCACCGCCUCCGAGUGGGAGAGAUUUAUUUCAAAAGUAGAAGAAGUAUUGAAUGACUGGAAACUUAUUGGGGUUUCUUCAGGCAAACCUCUAGAAAAGGGUAUAUACACCACAGGGACAUGGGAAGAGAAAUCAGAUGAGAUUUCAUUUGCGGACUUCAAAUUCUCAGUUACCCACCAUUAUCUUGUACAAGAACCCAGUGACAAAGAUGGGAAAGAAGAGCUGGCAGAAGAUGCCCUUCCCCUGCCAAUGCAGGACUUGCUGUGCAUGAACAAUGACUUCCCCCCUCGAGCUCACUGCCUGGUGAGAUGGUAUGGCUUACGGGAGUUUGUGGUGAUUGCUCCUGCUGCAAAUAAUGAGGCCGUUGUGAGUGAAUCCAAGUGUAACCUUUUGCUGAGUUCCAUUUCCAUUGCGUUGGGGAACACUGGCUGUCAGGUACCACUGUUCGUGCAGAUACACCAGAAAUGGCGCCGGAUGUACGUUGGGGAAUGUCAGGGCCCGGGAGUCCGGACUGACUUCGAAAUGGUCCAUCUGCGCAAGGUGCCCAGCCAGUACACUCACUUAUCAGGGCUGCUGGAGAUCUUCAAAACCAAGAUUGGGUGCCCUCUAACACCACUGCCUCCCGUUAGCAUGGCUAUCCGGCUGACCUACGUGCUCCAGGACUGGCAGCAGUACUUCUGGCCUCAGCAACCACCAGAUAUAGAUGCCCUAGUUGGGGGAGAAGUUGGAGGCCUUGAAUUUGGGAAGUUACCAUUUGGUGCCUGUGAGGAUCCUAUUAGUGAGCUCCAUUUAGCUACUACCUGGCCCCACCUGGCAGAGGGCAUAAUUGUGGACAAUGAUGUGUAUUCUGACCUGGAUCCUAUGCAAGCCCCACAAUGGUCUGUGAGAGUCAGAAAAGCAGAUAACCCUCAGUGUCUACUGGGUGACUUCCUUACCGAAUUCUUCAAGCUCUGCCGUCGGAAGGAGUCGACUGAUGAGAUCCUUGGGAGAUCUGCAUUUGAAGAGGAAGGAAAAGAGGUUGCUGACAUUACCCAUGCCUUGUCCAAGCUCACAGAGCCAGCACCAGUCCCAAUCCAUAAACUAUCAGUCACAAAUAUGGUUCACAGUGCAAGGAAAAAAAUCCGCAAGCACAGAGGUGUGGACGAGUCGCCUUUAAACAAUGAUGUGCUGAACACCAUUCUACUGUUCUUGUUUCCUGAUGCUGCUGACAAACUUGCAGAUGGAUUUGAAAGCAGAGCCAACACUUCAGCAGGAAACAAUCCUCCUCCAGAGAAUGAAGAUUAUAAUCUCUUCAGUCAGUUUAAAUCUGCUCCCUCUGACAGUCUGACCUACAAAUUAGCUUUGUGUCUUUGUAUGAUAAACUUCUACCAUGGAGGAGUAAAAGGGGUGGCACAUCUUUGGCAAGAGUUUGUGUUGGAAAUGCGCUACAGAUGGGAGAACAACUACCUCAUUCCAGGAUUAGCUAAUGGCUCUCCAGAUCUGAGAUGUUGUUUACUGCAUCAGAAACUCCAGAUGUUAAAUUGUUGCAUUGAAAGGAAGAAAGCAAGAGAUGAGGGGAAAAGGGGGAGCGUGUCUGAUCGUUCACCUGGGGCUUCUGGUGAUGGUGCAAAAGGAGCAGAACACUCUGCAGAUAACCCUGAUAAGGAAAAGGAAUUUGGCAAGUCUUGGGAAUCAUGGAGUGACAGUGAAGAUGAAUUUUUUGAAUGUCUGAGUGACACAGAAGACCUCAAAGGAAAUGGACAGGAAAACGGAAAGAAAGGAGGAGCAAAAGAAGGCAACAAAGAGCCUGUGAACUUAAAACCAGAGGGUCGUCUGCAUCCACACGGGAAGCUGAUGCUGCUGCAUCCUGGAGAGCCUCUCUACGUUCCAAUAACACAGGAACCAGCACCCAUGACUGAGGAUUUGCUGGAGGAGCAGUCUGAGGUGCUGGCAAAGCUGGGAACCUCAGCAGAAGGUGCUCACCUCCGGGCACGGAUGCAGAGUGCCUGUCUGCUCUCAGACAUGGAGUCUUUUAAGGCAGCGAAUCCCGGCUGUUGCCUGGAGGACUUUGUGAGGUGGUACUCCCCUCGGGAUUACAUCGAGGAGGAGGUGGUGGAUGAGAAGGGGAAUAAAAUCAUCAAGGGCGAGCUGAGCGCCCGGAUGAAGAUUCCCAGCAACAUGUGGGUGGAGGCCUGGGAGACGGCAAAGCCCAUCCCAGCACGGAGGCAGAAGAGACUCUUCGAUGACACCAGGGAGGCAGAGAAGGUGCUUCAUUACCUUGCAGUUCAGAAAUCAGCUGACCUUGCAAGGCACCUCCUGCCUUGCAUCAUCCAUGCAGCUGUACUCAAGGUAAAGGAUGAAGAAGCACUAGAAGAUAUCUCUUCAGUCAAGAAGAUAAUCAAGCAGAUAAUAUCUCAUUCCAGCAAAGUACUACGGUUCCCCAAUCCAGAGGACAAGAAGUUGGAAGAGAUCAUCGCUCAGAUUAUGAGUGUGGAAGCAAUCAUUGCCAGGGCAAGGUCUCUGAAAGCAAAAUUUGGUGUAGAGAAGUGUGAAAAUGAGGAGGAGAAAGAAGAUCUACAAAGGUUUGUAAACUGUCUCCUGGAGCAGCCAGAGGUGUCAGUUGUGGGUGCAGGAAGAGGACCUGCUGGCAGCAUCAUUCACAAGCUGUUUGUGAAUGCUCAGAGGGUAAGAGGGAGCUCUGGGUUGCUUUGCAGACACUUGUGAUUUAAGCAGAAGGAAGCAAUGACUUAUCAUAUGAUGCCAGUGUAUUUUGUCUGCAUACGUGCAUGUGUUGUCAUAAAUGUGCUUGAGGUGUUUUUUGUGAUGUUCAACAUGAUUUUGGCAAUAACAGAACCUUGCAAGACAAAGGAAGAGUCAGUGAUCUGGGAUGUUAAACAAUUGAAGCCAACUGGGUACACAGAGGUGUCAUUAAUGGCUGAUGUACAACCAGUAAUGCUGUUAUGGCACAGAUUUCUGUCUCAGCAAGAACAAUCAAGUGUUGAUUGUUUCACAUAGGAAUGUAGAGAAACAGGUCAAAAUAUUAAAUUAUUUUAGAAGGAAUAACUUUUUAGAAUGGGGAUACUUGGAAUAUACUUGGAAUACUCAAGACUUCUUCUGUGGAAAGUGGCAUGCUGAGGAAGUGUCAGCUCUUUUUCAGUAGGACUCUACAUUUAGUUACUUAUUGCCAGUGUUGCAUCUGUUUUCUGGAGCCCCUUCUCUUGCUGAUAUUGAUGCAAAUAUUGCCUUUUUAUCUGAAGCAGUGUUUGUAAUAAUAAGCCUUAAAGUAUUGAUUUCCAAACCUCAUGGACUGCAGUCACCCUUCAGUUUCUGUCAGAAUUACACCUGCUCAUAGCAUCAAGUUUUCUAACUAAAAUUUAACUACAGUGGUAAUAGCAAGGUAGCACAGUAUUGCAGACAUCUUAGAGCCUGAAAUUCCAUUUGGGAAUAAUUGCUGGGAAAACAUUGUGAUUGGGUGUUAAACACUUCUAAGGUAUGGAUGACUUUGUAAUAAACUGUAUUUUGCAACACAGCAUAAAAAGGACCAUUCUGAAAACAGACUGUGGUUAGUGUGAGGGAUGAAAAUCAGAGCAUUUAUUUUAUCCUUCCAGUCUCUAGGGAAGGUCUAGUUUGAAAUCUCAACGUGCCAACCAGCCUGACUUACAGCCCCUCCUGUAAAGCCCAAGGCUGUGCCCUGUCAGUGCCUGCACACGUGUGCACUUGCCUCUAACACUGAGGCAGGGUUAGAGUAGGUUUCUAGGUUAGUGUUUGAUAAAGAUAUGUGCACAUUUCUAGGGCUUUGUUUCUUUUGAAACACCAGUAAACAAAGUAGGGUUACAGAUACUUCCCCCAGUAGCUGGUCACUGUUAAUUAGGAUGUCUUAGGGCAACAGGAGCCCCCUUUCUGUUUGAUCUCCCAUGAGUUAUUUGGGUAGAGAGCUGUUUGGUAAAUAGAAGUUGAAUGAAUUCCUUGUUCAUUACCUUUUGAUCCUGGACUCCUCUCUGAGUUGUGUUUAAUGUGUUAUGUUCUCAGAUUUUCUCAGGAAAAUUCUGAUAGCCAGUGCAUGCUCUUGGAAGUAGAGUGCAUGAUGUCUCUUAAACCUACAGUCUCCUAACCUCUUGUAAGUCAUCUCUGACUUGCCUUUGUUUCUGUCUUUCAUCACUGG